UACGGAGGGUGCGAGCGUUGUCCGGAAUCACUGGGCGUAAAGGGCGCGUAGGUGGCUUUUCAAGCGCGCGGUGAAAGCCCGGGGCUCAACCCCGGGUCUGCCGUGCGGACUGGGAGGCUCGAGCACUGUAGGGGCGGGUGGAAUUCCGGGUGUAGCGGUGGAAUGCGUAGAGAUCCGGAAGAACACCGGUGGCGAAGGCGGCCCGCUGGGCAGGAAGGCUCGCAAGAGCCGGCUGACACUGAGGCGCGACAGCGUGGGGAGCAAACAGG
rnacentral:rRNA from 1 species